UACGAAGGGGGGCUAGCGUUGCUCGGAAUUACUGGGCGUAAAGGGCGCGUAGGCGGCCCGCUAAGUCGAACGUGAAAUCCCUGGGCUCAACCCAGGAACUGCGUCCGAUACUGGCAGCUUGAAUCCGGGAGAGGGAUGCGGAAUUCCAGGUGUAGCGGUGAAAUGCGUAGAUAUCUGGAGGAACACCGGUGGCGAAGGCGGCAUCCUGGACCGGCAUUGACGCUGAGGCGCGAAAGCUAGGGGAGCAAACGGG
rnacentral:rRNA from 1 species